rnacentral:piRNA from 1 species
UGAAUUCUGAUCUACUCCUGAUUAUUAUGUU